AUGAACGCUGGCGGCGUGCCUAAUACAUGCAAGUCGAGCGAACAGACGAGGAGCUUGCUCCUCUGACGUUAGCGGCGGACGGGUGAGUAACACGUGGAUAACCUACCUAUAAGACUGGGAUAACUUCGGGAAACCGGAGCUAAUACCGGAUAAUAUAUUGAACCGCAUGGUUCAAUAGUGAAAGACGGUUUUGCUGUCACUUAUAGAUGGAUCCGCGCCGCAUUAGCCAGUUGGUAAGGUAACGGCUUACCAAGGCAACGAUGCGUAGCCGACCUGAGAGGGUGAUCGGCCACACUGGAACUGAGACACGGUCCAGACUCCUACGGGAGGCAGCAGUAGGGAAUCUUCCGCAAUGGGCGAAAGCUUGACGGAGCAACGCCGCGUGAGUGAUGAAGGUCUUCGGAUCGUAAAACUCUGUUAUCAGGGAAGAACAAAUGUGUAAGUAACUAUGCACGUCUUGACGGUACCUAAUCAGAAAGCCACGGCUAACUACGUG
rnacentral:rRNA from 1 species